UACGUAGGUGACAAGCGUUGUCCGGAUUUACUGGGCGUAAAGAGCGCGCAGGCGGUCGUUCAAGUCGGGGGUGAAAGCCCCCGGCUCAACUGGGGAGGGUCACUCGAUACUGAUCGACUUGAAGGCAGGAGAGGGAAGCGGAAUUCCCGGUGUAGUGGUGAAAUGCGUAGAUAUCGGGAGGAACACCAGUGGCGAAGGCGGCUUCCUGGCCUGUUCUUGACGCUGAGGCGCGAAAGCUAGGGGAGCAAACGGG
rnacentral:rRNA from 1 species